rnacentral:rRNA from 1 species
UACGUAGGUGGCGAGCGUUGUCCGGAUUUACUGGGCGUAAAGGGAGCGUAGGCGGACUUUUAAGUUAGAUGUGAAAUACUCGGGCUCAACUUGAGUGCUGCAUUUCAAACUGGAAGUCUAGAGUGCAGGAGAGGAGAAUGGAAUUCCUAGUGUAGCGGUGAAAUGCGUAGAGAUUAGGAAGAACACCAGUGGCGAAGGCGAUUCUCUGGACUGUAACUGACGCUGAGGCUCGAAAGCGUGGGGAGCAAACAGG